ACACGUGCAGUACUCUCGUCUCCUGGGGAGAGCCUACCUUAGUAACCCUGUUGUGAUCAGUUCCUGCCUCAUAAGGCCCCUUGGAACCCAGACCUUUGUGCAGAAUGACUUCAGAGCAUAGAGCUACGGUCACCCUUUAGAUUUGAUCCCAGGAGUAAGAACUGAGAACGGAUUUUUUUAAUGGCUCCAUGGUUUUACCUAGUAAUCAAAACUUAAUUGAGAAAUGUUUUGGAGAGGAUCUGAUGGAAAUUGCAAACCCAUCACGGAGAGAUACAAGGAAGCACGCGAGCGUGAAGUUGGCUGAACUCACCUCCAUUUUCUCCGGAAGGUACAAGGGAAGAGAACAGUUGCAUUCUUUGUCAAAAUUAGAACUAUCUUCCCGUAGCUGAGCGCAA